UAAAGAAGACCGGUUUUUGCUCGAGUGACGUCGAUCGGCAUUUGCUGACAGAUACCGCAGAAAGCGUAGGCUGUCUUUUAGUGUAUGACCACACAAUCGGGUAGUGUCGCUAUGUGAAGAAGAUCUCUGGAAAUGUCGAAGGCCUUUGUAGCAUGUGAAACGACACAUUUCUCGUCGUCCCGUUUUGCCGCAUUGUCCGGGUUGUUGCGAGGACUUUCGCUGUAAUCCAGUUAUUUGUGCUACUAGAAUUCAGUUCGUGCGAGAUCCUACCGAUGUACGCCUCGCCGACAAUCGAGACCCAAAGAUGGCGGAGUCGGGUUUGUUUGUUUGUUUUUAUUCUUACUCACAGCGCAUUCUACAGACCUCUACCGCUAUCAAAGAUGCCAAUUGUAGUUUGUGCCUUUGGCUUUUUGACUAUUGGCCGAUGCCGUGUGACCUGUGGCAUGAGCAUCUCUACUGUAGUGAUGCUAAUGGUGGGCUCUCGAUGUGCUUCUUGUAUAGCUGCUGGCACUGGGGACAGUCAUACAAGGGAGACUGAUGCAAAUGUUGAAUGGCACACUUCUUGCACAUUAAAUGGUUGCAUUGGAGUUCAACUGGGAUGUUGACAACUUAUUCACACAGGGCAGUUGAACAAGUCAAACAGGUCAGUCAAUUUGAUUGCUGACAACUGGAGCAGGUCUUGCAGUUUUCUGAGUGUGGCAUCCACUCUGUGCAGAGAGGUACAAGAAUAGAGGCUCCUUGCCUCUUUGUAAAUCAACGCGUUACUAGAUGGCAGCGGACACAGAAAUUGACAUUUGUACUGACGUCCUCUCAUUGAACCUGGGGCCACAUAACCUGUGAAGCUAUCGUACAGAGAGGAUACUAAAGCGUCUGUCGACAAUGAUGUCUCAUGAUCUCCGUUCUUCUUGUUUUCUCAUCGGUUGGUUGUUGCCCUGCGUUUGGAUAAAGUAGCUGCACUUUUUGCAUCAAGAAACAAGGUGGAAGCACCCUUGUAGACGAGUUCAGUCUCAGCUUACCACAUUCUCAGGCAGCUAGGAGCCAAGUCACGUGUCAAAAGACUCGAAUCUGUAUCGUUAUUUCUACGAGUCGUACACAAAAGCCGAGCGACAGUGGCUGUGGUGUCUCACAUGAGUCUUGUUUGCAAUCACAAAUUUAUUCAAAGUUCAACUUUAUUAUAUGAUAUCACGUUCAUUAAACAAAACUGCUUAUAUAAUAAAAUAAAAUAUUUAGUGUUGUAUAUCACUGUCCAAUCCUCUUCUCAUUG